rnacentral:rRNA from 1 species
AUUGAACGCUGGCGGCAGGCUUAACACAUGCAAGUCGAGCGGAGUGAUGGUGCUUGCACUAUCACUUAGCGGCGGACGGGUGAGUAAUGCUUAGGAAUCUGCCUAUUAGUGGGGGACAACAUCUCGAAAGGGAUGCUAAUACCGCAUACGUCCUACGGGAGAAAGCAGGGGAUCACUUUUGACCUUGCGCUAAUAUCUGAGCCUAAGUCGGAUUAGCUAGUUGGUGGGGUAAAGGCCUACCAAGGCGACGAUCUGUAGCGGGUCUGAGAGGCUGAUCGGCCACACUGGGACUGAGACACGGCCCAGACUCCUACGGGAGGCAGCAGUGGGGAAUAUUGGACAAUGGGGGGAACCCUGAUCCAGCCAUGCCGCGUGUGUGAAGAAGGCCUUAUGGUUGUAAAGCACUUUAAGCGAGGAGGAGGCUCUUUUGGUUAAUACCCAAGAUGAGUGGACGUUACUCGCAGAAUAAGCACCGGCUAACUCUGUGCCAGCCGCCGCAGUAA